rnacentral:rRNA from 1 species
UACGUAGGCAGCAAGCGUUGUUCGGAGUUACUGGGCGUAAAGGGUGUGUAGGCGGUUGUUUAAGUUUGGUGUGAAAUCUCCCGGCUCAACUGGGAGGGUGCGCCGAAUACUGAAUGACUUGGAGUGCGGGAGAGGAGAGUGGAAUUCCUGGUGUAGCGGUGAAAUGCGUAGAUAUCAGGAGGAACACCGGUGGUGUAGACGGCUCUCUGGACCGUAACUGACGCUGAGACACGAAAAGCGUGGGUAGCAAACAGG